rnacentral:tRNA from 1 species
GCUGUGAUGGCUAAGUGGUUAGGCAUUGGACUUAAGAUCCAAGUGCCUGCAUGGGCUCAAACCUCACUCGUGCUA